GGGCGGUUGGUGUAGUGGUAACAUAUCUGCCUUCCAAGCAGGUGCCAGGGGUUCAAUUCCCCUACCGCUCA
rnacentral:tRNA from 7 species